UCACUUCCCAUUAAGCCGUGAAUGCCUAUAUAAGGCCUGCCGGUUUCGGCCGGCUAUGGCGAUAAAUUGCGGUGUGCAAUAGGCACAGCGGACCCGGGGGCAGUACCCGGCGGCUCCACCACCAGGCACGGGAAACCGGGCUUUAUGACGGGGCCGAACCAGGAUCGACGUGUGUUGAAAAGCACUGUUUUCGCCCGGGCUGAGUAACCCGUUCAAGGCUCAAAACACACAAGUGCCAAUGACAAUGAAGCACUCGCAAUCGCCGCGUAAUUUUACGGCCUAACGGCCCAAAUUUACAAAGCUAAGCGCGGUUGGACCCACCGGGCAACAGAAGCGGAUUCCGGGGGCCCGGGGUGGGCCUAGCAACAGAACCACCCCACU
rnacentral:tmRNA from 1 species